UUCUACUAUAUUUUCAAAUGAAAUCUAUAAUAAUUUUAUUUUAUUCAGAAAAAGAAAUUAGUCUCAAAAUAAUACAAUUUAUCUUCAGUAUUACACGAAAGUCAAAGAAAAAACACCGGAACUCAAAAACACCAAAAAAAAUUCGUGAUUUCCCGACUUUCAAUUUUGCUGAUUUCCGCCGUUUUUCGCAAUUUUCAAU
rnacentral:lncRNA from 1 species